rnacentral:tRNA from 2 species
GGACGGGUGCCGUUGGUCACUCCUUGCCCGCACGCGGGCCGGCGAUCAAGGGUUAUCGGAUUAGCGGGGGGUGACACCCCUGUGAGGGUUCAAAUCCCUCCCCGUCCG